GACGAACGCUGGCGGCGUGCUUAACACAUGCAAGUCGAACGGAAAGGCCCUGCUUUUGUGGGGUGCUCGAGUGGCGAACGGGUGAGUAACACGUGUGUAACCUGCCCUUUACUUUGGGAUAACUUCAGGAAACUGGGGCUAAUACCGGAUAGGAUCUCCUGCUGCAUGGUGGGGGUUGGAAAGUUUCGGCGGUUGGGGAUGGACUCGCGGCUUAUCAGCUUGUUGGUUGGUUAGUGGCUUACCAAGGCUUUGACGGGUAGCCGGCCUGAGAGGGUGACCGGGAACAUUGGGACUGAGAGACGGAGCAGAAUACAACGGGAGGCAGCAGAGGGGAAUAGUGCAAAAUGGGAGGAAGGCUGAUGAAGAAACGCCGGGUGCGGGAUGAAGGCCUUCGGGUUGUAAAAAGAUUUGGAAUGUGAAGAAGAGUGAGUGACGGUAAUGGGUAAAGAAGCACCGGCUAACUACGUG
rnacentral:rRNA from 1 species